CGAAGCACUGUGCAAAUGACAGGUGGACUGACAGGAUGAUCCCCAAAGCAGAAUCUGACCGGAGUGCCAGUCCAGAACUUGAGUGUGCUGACGCAGCCAGGGAAGACC